GUGCUGGCUUCAGCAGCACAUAUACUAAAAUCGGAACAAUAUGGAGAAGAUUAGCAUGGCCCCUGUGCAAGGAGGGCAUGCAAAUUCAUGAAGUGUUCCAUUAAAAA
rnacentral:snRNA from 1 species